AGCGAACGCUGGCGGCAGGCCCAACACAUGCAAGUCGAACGAACCCUUCGGGGUUAGUGGCGGACGGGUGAGUAACACGUGGGAACGUGCCUUUAGGUUCGGAAUAACUCAGGGAAACUUGUGCUAAUACCGAAUGUGCCCUUCGGGGGAAAGAUUUAUCGCCUUUAGAGCGGCCCGCGUCUGAUUAGCUAGUUGGUGAGGUAAUGGCUCACCAAGGCUACGAUCAGUAGCUGGUCUGAGAGGAUGACCAGCCACAUUGGGACUGAGACACGGCCCAAACUCCUGCGGGAGGCAGCAGUGGGGAAUCUUGCGCAAUGGGCGAAAGCCUGACGCAGCCAUGCCGCGUGGAUGAUGAAGGUCUUAGGAUUGUAAAAUCCUUUCACCGGUGAAGAUAAUGACUGUAGCCGGAGAAGAAGCCCCGGCUAACUUCGUGCCAGCCGCCGCCGUAAAAC
rnacentral:rRNA from 1 species